UACGUAGGGUGCGAGCGUUGUCCGGAAUUACUGGGCGUAAAGAGCUCGUAGGUGGUUUGUCGCGUUGUUCGUGAAAACCGGGGGCUUAACCCUCGGCGUGCGGGCGAUACGGGCAGACUUGAGUUCGGUAGGGGAGACUGGAAUUCCUGGUGUAGCGGUGAAAUGCGCAGAUAUCAGGAGGAACACCGGUGGCGAAGGCGGGUCUCUGGGCCGAUACUGACGCUGAGGAGCGAAAGCGUGGGGAGCGAACAGG
rnacentral:rRNA from 1 species